GACUACUGGGGUAUCUAAUCCCAUUUGCUACCCUAGCUUUCGUCUCUCAGUGUCAGCAAUGGUCCAGUAAAGCGCUUUCGCCACAGGUGUUCUUCCCAAUAUCUACGCAUUUCACCGCUACACUGGGAAUUCCCUUUACCCCUACCAUGCUCUAGCUUGUCAGUUUCCACUGCUUUUCUGUGGUUAAGCCUCAGUCUUUAACAGCAGACUUGAAAAGCCACCUACAGACGCUUUACGCCCAGUGAUUCCGGAUAACGCUUGCAUCCUCCGUAUUACCGCGGCUGCUGGCACGGAGUUAGCCGAUGCUUAUUCUUCAGGUACCGUCAAAUUUCUUCCCUGAAAAAAGAGGUUUACGACCCUCAGGCUUUUAUCCCUCACGCGGUAUUGCUCUGUCAGGCUUUCGCCCAUUGCAGAAGAUUCCCCACUGCUGCCUCCCGUAGGAGUCUGGGCCGUGUCUCAGUCCCAGUGUGGUUGAUCGUCCUCUCAAACCAGCUACUGAUCGUUGCCUUGGUAGUCUUUUAUCCUACCAACUAGCUAAUCAGCCGCGAGCUCUUCCUUAGGCAGAAAUCUUUUUCACCUCUCGGCAUAUGGGGUCUUAGCAGCCGUUUCCAGCUGUUAUUCCCCUCCUAAGGGUAGAUUCUCACGCGUUACUCACCCGUCCG
rnacentral:rRNA from 1 species